rnacentral:rRNA from 1 species
GGUUUUAUGAAUUAAAAUAUAAAAUCUGGCCUGCUCUAUGUCUAAUAAAUGGCCGCGGUAUUAUGACCGUGCGAAGGUAGCAUAAUAAUUAGGCUAUUAAUUGUAGUCUUGUAUGAAAGGUUGGACGUGGGAUAUUCUUUCUUAUUUGUAUGGAUGAAUUUAAAUAACCAGUAAAAAUGCUGGUAUAAUAUAGAAAGACGAGAAGACCCUAUUGAGUUUUAUAUUUGAAUUAUUUUUAUAUUUGAUUGGGGCGAUUUUUAAGAAACAUGAUUUGUUGGUGAUCCAUUAAUAGUGAUUAAUAGAAUAAAUUACCAUAGGGAUAACAGCAUUAUUUAGUUGGAGAGUUCAUAUUAAUAACUAAGUUUGUGACCUCGAUGUUGGAUUAAGAUUCCUUGUGGGUGCAGGUGCUUUAUGAGGUAAACUGUUCGUCUAUUAAAAUCUUACA